rnacentral:rRNA from 1 species
GGGGUAAUGCAUGGGCGCAGCCUGAUGCAGCCUGCCGCGUGUAUGAAGAAGGCCUUCGGGUUGUAAAGUACUUUCAGCGGGGAGGAAGGGAGUAAAGUUAAUACCUUUGCUCAUUGACGUUACCCGCAGAAGAAGCACCGGCUAACUCCGUGCCAGCAGCCGCGGUAAUCA